rnacentral:misc_RNA from 1 species
GUACGCUGACCUCUUGAGAAUUUGUGGAAUGUGUCGUCGAGCGAGGAACUAUUUUUUUCUUUGCACUUCUGACGCUGGCGUAGAGAACGAUCAAACGAUACGAUUUAUAAAAAGGACCGGUUAUUCACAGUGAUCGCUAUGCAUCGUAAAAUCUUGAAACUGGCAUUAGGAAUGUAGGUCGAGUUCUUGAGCGUAGAUUGAUCAGGAAACGGAUUGGCGCCUUGGUAUAUCGAUUAGAAUGCAACGUGUGUCAAGUGGAAGCUGCUUUCUAUUGUUCUUCGUUAUCGCUGGUUAUCAAAUACUUCGCAUAUUAUUCUGUAUACCGUAUUUCCUUUAUUGAUAAAAUGGUGUUUGUGGUGUGUGAUUUAAUCAGUGAUUUCGCGAUUUAUCCGUGAAUUUGUUCCGAUUGCUCUACUUUGUGCAAUAUGUACAUUACGUUAAUAAUAAUACUAACAGGAAAGGGUCGAA